rnacentral:tRNA from 1 species
CAGGGAGACAACAAAAUGUUUAAUAUUAUUAUUUUGUCACCUUAGGUCGAUCGGUAUCUCACGUUCUUAAUUUAUUAAGAAUUUCAAUUCCUAAGUUUUUCUAGGUCACACCCAUUAUUUUUUCCUGGGCCAUUAGCUCAGGUGGUUAGAGCGCACCCCUGAUAAGGGUGAGGUCCCUGGUUCAAGUCCAGGAUGGCCCAUAUCUCUAUGUUGGGGGUAUAGCUCAGUUGGUAGAGCGCCUGCUUUGCAAGCAGGAUGUCAGCGGUUCGAGUCCGCUUACCUCCACUGAUUACCACCUCUUCCAUAAUUUGGAGAAAGGAAAUGUUUUGAGAUGUGAUCAAAUCCUGAACGAAUCUAGCUUCCUAAUAAAAACUAUUAAGAUGCUGGACUCAUUGAAUUAAUUUCAUUGUUUUCAGAGAACCUUGACAACUGCAUAGAUUAUUUUUAAAGACAAUAAGCAUCUUUAAUGAUGCAGAUUUAUUAUUUGUGCAAAUGCAUUAAUAACAAUUCUAUUAAGCUGAUGCUUCAAUUUUGAAGUUAUU